rnacentral:rRNA from 1 species
CCUACGGGAGGCAGCAGUGAGGAAUAUUGGUCAAUGGCCGCAGGGCUGAACCAGCGAAGUCGCGUGAGGGAUGACGGUCCUAUGGAUUGUAAACCUCUUUUGUCAGGGAGCAAAGGGCGCCACGUGUGGCGUUUUGUGAGUCCCCGAAGAACAAGCAUCGGCUAACUCCGUGCCAGCAGCCGCGGUAAUACGGAGGAUGCGAGCGUUAUCCGGAUUUAUUGGGUGUAAAGGGUGCGUAGGCGGUCGGAUAAGUUUGAGGGGAAAUCCCGGGGCUCAACUUCGGAAUUGCCUCUGAUCCUGUUCGGCUGGAGAGUAGUAGAGGUAGGCGGAAUGUAUGGUGUAGCGGUGAAAUGCUUAGAGAUCAUACAGAACACCGAUUGCGAAGGCAGCUUACCAAGCUACUUCUGACGUUGAGGCACGAAAGCGUGGGGAGCAAACAGGAUUAGAUACCCUUGUAGUC